GAGUUUGAUCAUGGCUCAGAUUGAACGCUGGCGGUAUGCUUAACACAUGCAAGUCGAACGGUAACAGGAGAGAGCUUGCUCUUUUGCUGACGAGUGGCGGACGGGUGAGUAAUGCGUAGGAAUCUGCCUAGUAGUGGGGGACAACGUGUGGAAACGCACGCUAAUACCGCAUACGCCCUACGGGGGAAAGGCGGGGAGUCUUCGGACCUCGCGCUAUUAGAUGAGCCUACGUUAGAUUAGCUAGUUGGUGGGGUAAAGGCCUACCAAGGCGACGAUCUAUAGCUGGUCUGAGAGGAUGAUCAGCCACACUGGGACUGAGACACGGCCCAGACUCCUACGGGAGGCAGCAGUGGGGAAUAUUGGACAAUGGGCGAAAGCCUGAUCCAGCAAUACCGCGUGUGUGAAGAAGGCCUGAGGGUUGUAAAGCACUUUC
rnacentral:rRNA from 1 species